GGUUGAACAAGGGUGGGAUAAAACAGGAGGAUCUAUGCUAGUCCAAGGAGAGAAGUGAAGAUGGUUUCAGACUAAAGGGAUAACAGGGAGAAAGAAGUGGUAACAUUCUGACUCUUCUUCUAAAGGUAGAGCCAAGAGAAGUCUUGAUAUGGGCUAUGAGAAAAAGAAGGAAGUCAAAGAUGACUUCAGUUCCUGGACCUGAGCCAAUGGACAAAAUGGGAAAACAAUGGGAGGAGCAGGUCUGGCAGGUAAUACCGGGAGUUCAGCUUUGCGCAUGUUGAGUCUGAGCUGCCUAUCAAACACACAGAUGGAGCUGCUGAGAAGGCAGUUGGAGAGAUGAAUCUGCUGUUCAACAAAGAGGUCAGAGACAGAGAUUAACAUCUAGCAGUGUGCAGAAUUUGGGGCUGGACGAGAUUAUUUAGAGAGAAAAUCUGGAGCACUCCUAGCUUCUGCCCUGGGGCUCUUCAAUGUUUUGCAGGAUUCAACAAAGGAGUCCAAGAAGGAACAAAUAGUGAGUGCGAAAGAAAAUCAAGCAAAAAGGCAUGCAAGAAACCAAGAAAAGUGUUUGAAAGAGGAAGGAACGACCAACUGAGUUAAACACCACUAAGAGGUCAAGAAAGAUGAAGACUAAUAAGAAUGGAGCAUUUGAUUUGAUAACAUAGAGGUCAUUUGGAUCAAGAUAAAGCUUAUUGCCUACAAGUGGAAUUAGGUGGACAGCUUUGAGAUCUUCCAUACUCUCAAUGAAAAGCUUUGCCUGUACACAUAAUUCUUCCGGGUAAGUCUCAGCUAGCAAUCUUCAGGAUUAUUGUCAGCCCACAAUAUAGUGUUAAUUCUGUACUAUGGGCUGUCAUCUUCCUAUACACAACCAAGGCAAUCAUCAUUCUCAAGAAACUCCUGAACCAUUAAUCCAGGAUGCAAAAGAAACAUGUUAAGGGCACUGAAACUCAGACCUAUAGCAAUGUUAAGAGUUGUGGCAGGCAGGGAAAAACACACGACAGCUGAUCAGCCUGACCACUUCAGAAGGACUAUGCUACCAAUAAGAGAUGACUCCACAAAUCCUGGACUCAGUCACAUAGCAACAAAGUCUAUCCACAUUAAGAGUGAGAAAAUGGCUACUCACCUAUGUAUUGUCUUUUCAAACUUACACACAAGACGACACCAGUUUACAGCAUCAUUUGAAAAUACAAAAAAAAUGACGAUAUACAUAUGACACGCUAAGGAUCAAGAACAAAGAAAGAAUUACAAAAA